rnacentral:lncRNA from 1 species
GGUGAACAAUUGAUUAAAUGACAUUAAUAGAUAAGAGAUAAAUAAAUAAGUUAGUAAGGGGUGAUGGAAGUAAGAAAGAAAGGAAGGUAGGAAGGUAGGAAGGAAGGAAGGAAGGAAGGAAGGAAGGAAGGAAGGAAGGAAGGAAGGAAGGAAGGAAGGAAGGAAGGAAGGAAGGAAGGAAGGAAGGAAAGGAGAGAGGGAAGAAGGGAGGAAAGAACCAGAUUGUAGAGGGCUUCAAGUGCCAGACUGAGGAGUCUAUAUUUAACCUCACAGCAAGAGGGUUUUGUUUUUUGUUUUUUUGAAGCAGAAGACAUGGAUCUAAAGCAUGGACACCAAAGAACAGUCUCUAAAGGAAGUCCAGAUGCUAAAUGGGAGAAAUCAAAGAAUGCUGGAGUGGGAAGGAACCACAGAGAAUUCAAUGGCGUCAUUUUACAGGACAAAAAGUAAGAACUGAGCAGAUACAGGAAGAGACCAGGAACCCAGCUCAGCCAAUUGAACAUCUGGAUAUGUUCUCCAGAGUUGAUUAUUCAUUUAUUCUGGGAAUGCUUACUAUCUUCUGCACCUGCACAUUAUCAGGUAUGUGUGUGCAUGUGUGUGUGUGUGUAUUCUAA